rnacentral:rRNA from 1 species
CCAGAGUUUGAUCAUGGCUCAGAUUGAACGCUGGCGGCAGGCCUAACACAUGCAAGUCGAGCGGUAGCACAGAGAGCUUGCUCUCGGGUGACGAGCGGCGGACGGGUGAGUAAUGUCUGGGAAACUGCCUGAUGGAGGGGGAUAACUACUGGAAACGGUAGCUAAUACCGCAUAACGUCGCAAGACCAAAGAGGGGGACCUUCGGGCCUCUUGCCAUCAGAUGUGCCCAGAUGGGAUUAGCUAGUAGGUGGGGUAACGGCUCACCUAGGCGACGAUCCCUAGCUGGUCUGAGAGGAUGACCAGCCACACUGGAACUGAGACACGGUCCAGACUCCUACGGGAGGCAGCAGUGGGGAAUAUUGCACAAUGGGCGCAAGCCUGAUGCAGCCAUGCCGCGUGUAUGAAGAAGGCCUUCGGGUUGUAAAGUACUUUCAGCGGGGAGGAAGGUGUUGAGGUUAAUAACCUCAGCAAUUGACGUUACCCGCAGAAGAAGCACCGGCUAACUCCGUGCCAGCAGCCGCGGUAAUACGGAGGGUGCAAGCGUUAAUCGGAAUUACUGGGCGUAAAGCGCACGCAGGCGGUCUGUCAAGUCGGAUGUGAAAUCCCCGGGCUCAACCUGGGAACUGCAUUCGAAACUGGCAGGCUAGAGUCUUGUAGAGGGGGGUAGAAUUCCAGGUGUAGCGGUGAAAUGCGUAGAGAUCUGGAGGAAUACCGGUGGCGAAGGCGGCCCCCUGGACAAAGACUGACGCUCAGGUGCGAAAGCGUGGGGAGCAAACAGGAUUAGAUACCCUGGUAGUCCACGCCGUAAACGAUGGCGCUUUGGGGGUGGUGCCCUUACUCGCGUGGCUUCCGGAGUUUGAACAUCGCUUAAAUUGAACCGCCUGGGGAGUCCUACGGCCGCAAGUGUUAGAGUARCWCARWGAACUUGCUCACGUGGGGCCCGCACAAGCGGUGGAGUCAUUGUGGUUUUAUUCAAUGCAGACGGCAAAAACCUUAGCCUACUCUUGCACAUACCCGAUAACUUAGCAAGACCAAUGCUUUGGUGCCUUCGGGAACUCUUGAGACAAGAGUGGCCAUGGUUGUUGUCAGCUCGUGUUGUGAAAUGAUGGGUUAAGUCCCGCAACGAGCGCAACCCUUAUCCUUUGUUGCCAUCGGUUAGGCCGGGAACUCAAAGGAUGACUGCCACUGAUAAACUGGUAGGAAGGUGGGGAUGACGUCAAGUCAUCAUGGGCCUUACUAGCAGGGCUACACACUUGCUCA